UGUCGGUCCCCUCGCAACGAUACUUUGUGAACCCCGUCAGGCCCGGAAGGGAGCAGCGGCAGCAGAGGAUUCGGGUGCCGGGGUGCGGCUGGCACGG
rnacentral:SRP_RNA from 1 species